CCCAGAAUAAAUGGAUUUUUAGGAGAAAAACUUGGUAUGGGCAUCAAUCUCUAUCUUUCUCCCUUUAGGAUGGAACAAAAUCUGUUGGUGCUCUCCAAAGAAUGAUAGCCAUUGCUUGCCAUCCAAGACCCAACAAAGGCAAAUACCAGAAUAAAGUGGAAUAAGGUUGCUUCUGUUGUUUGAACUGCAGAGCUGAAAUGCACCCAUGGUGGUUGGAAGAGGAAGAGGAAAUGAACAAUAUGGAGAAAUAAAUUAUCUUACUUCAAAAUAAGAAGACCACAGAUUUAUCUUCUAUACCUGAAGAUGCCUCAAUGCUACAACUAGAGAUCUGGCAAGAAAAAUUAUACAAGGAUUUUAUAAGAAUAUAGUGACAUGUAUAAGACCAAAGUGAUGCCUUAUACAAACUCUGGAUCUCUUUCCUGCCAUUAUAGCCCAGAAGAUUAUUUUCUCUUUACCAUCACCAUGGAGAAGAAGUUCCCAAAUGUGAACUCAGCAAUACCAAAAAUGUUUGAAAUUGGCCACAUUUCAGUGAAAUGGAGAUAGAAGAGCAGAAGACAUCAUCAGAAUGGUGGCCUGUGGUGUGAUGAUCUCGAAGUGUGGCAAUAUAUUAAAGAAUCUCCAAAUGUUUUGUCUUUUUAACCUGUGUUGAUUUGGGGAGUUUCCUGUGCUACCUGAGUUGUGUGCCGACAUUGCUUAUUAAUAGAGCAAUUCUACUAAUGAAUUUAUUCCAGAAUUUCAACAUUUCUUGUCCAUCAUUUAUACAAAUAAGAAUAAAUUGUUUAGAUCAAAGAACA
rnacentral:lncRNA from 1 species